GGUUCAAUGGUGUAAUGGUUAGCACUUUGGACUCUGAAUCCAGUGAUCUGAGUUCAAAUCCCGGUGGGACCU